rnacentral:rRNA from 1 species
UACGAAGGGGGCUAGCGUUGCUCGGAAUCACUGGGCGUAAAGCGCACGUAGGCGGAUCUUUAAGUCAGGGGUGAAAUCCUGGAGCUCGACUCCAGAACUGCCUUUGAUACCGGGGAUCUCGAGUCCGGGAGAGGUGAGUGGAACUCCGGGGUGUAGUGGUGAAAUGGCGUAGAGAGUCCGGCGGAACACCGGUGGUGGAAGCGGCACCUGGGCCGAGGCCGACGCUGAGGCGCGAGAGCGU